UCUCUCGCCUUCCCUCCCUGAGGCGGGGCCUUUGAUAUAAGGCGAUUCCCCCCGGUUUUUCCCCUUUAACCGGGGUUUUUUUU
rnacentral:ncRNA from 1 species